GCAGUCGAACGCGAAAGCUCCCUUCGGGGAGCAAGUAGAGUGGCGCACGGGUGAGUAACACGUAGGUAAUCUACCUUCGGAUGGGGAAUAACAGCCGGAAACGGUUGCUAAUACCGCAUAAUGCAGCGGCACCUAAUGGUGACAGUUGUUAAAGCGGGGGAUCGAAAGACCUCGCGUCUGAAGAGGAGCCUGCGGCGGAUUAGCUAGUUGGCAGGGUAAAAGCCUACCAAGGCAACGAUCCGUAGCCGGCCUGAGAGGGCGGUCGGCCACACUGACACUGACAUACGGGUCAGACUCCUACGGGAGGCAGCAGUCGGGAAUUUUGGGCAAUGGGCGAAAGCCUGACCCAGCAACGCCGCGUGAAGGAUGAAAUCCCUCGGGAUGUAAACUUCGCAAGAACGGGAAGAAUAAGUGAGAGUUAACACCUCUCGCGAUGACGGUACUGUUUGUAAGCUCCGGCUAACUCCGUGCCAGCAGCCGCGGUAAUACGGGGGGAGCAAGCGUUGUUCGGAUUUACUGGGCGUAAAGGGCGCGUAGGCGGCCACCGCAAGUCAAUUGUGAAAUCUCCGGGCUUAACUCGGAAAGGUCAACUGAUACUGCGGGGCUAGAGUGCGGAAGGGGCAACUGGAAUUCCCGGUGUAGCGGUGAAAUGCGUAGAUAUCGAGAGGAACACCUGCGGCGAAGGCGGGUUGCUGGGCCGACACUGACGCUGAGGCGCGAAAGCUAGGGGAGCGAACGGGAUUAGAUACCCCGGUAGUCCUAGCCUUAAACGAUGGAUGCUUGGUGUCUGGGGUUUUAUAGUCCCCGGGUGCCGUCGCUAACGCUUUAAGCAUCCCGCCUGGGGAGUACGGUCGCAAGACUGAAACUCAAAGGAAUUGACGGGGACCCGCACAAGCGGUGGAGCAUGUGGUU
rnacentral:rRNA from 1 species